GAAAGCCAUCAUUGCCAAUGACCCUAAAGUCAUCGACGGAGUCUCUCCCUCGGAUUUCGAGGCUGCUCUUGUGGGCAAAACCCUAAUUUCUGCUCUUCGCAAGGGCAAGAACCUCUGGUUCCAGCUCGAUUCCCCUCCUUUCCCUUCUUUUCAGUUCGGGAUGGCUGGUGCUAUAUAUAUUAAGGGGGUUGCUGUUACCAAAUAUAAGAGGUCUAAUGUGAAUGACACUGAUGAGUGGCCAUCCAAAUAUUCAAAGCUAUUUAUUGAACUAGAUGAUGGUCUGGAGCUUUCUUUCACUGAUAAGAGGCGAUUUGCUAAAGUCCGCUUGCUCAAAGAUCCAGCUUCUGUGCCUCCAAUUUCUGAGCUGGGCCCUGAUGCACUAUUGGAGCCAAUGGCAGUUGAUGAAUUUUAUGAAUCCUUGCACAAGAAGAAAAUUGCAAUCAAGGCUCUGUUACUUGAUCAGAGUUUUAUCUCUGGUAUUGGCAACUGGAUUGCCGAUGAAGUGCUGUACCAAGCCAGUAUUCAUCCCCUACAAACUGCUUCCAGCUUGUCCAAAGGAAGUUGUGCAACAUUACACAAGUGCAUCAAGGAGGUAAUUGAAAAAGCAAUAGAAGUUGGGGCAGAUAGUAGUCAGUUCCCCAAUAAAUGGAUUUUUCAUUCCCGAGAAAAGAAGCCUGGGAAGGCUUUUGUUGAUGGGAAGAAAAUUGAUUUUAUCACUGCU
rnacentral:misc_RNA from 1 species